UACUCUCACACUCCCAAAUCUCUUUGGCUUGGGAGCGGUGGACUUGGGUGCUGCUGCUUGACUGUGGCUCACCUGAAAUAUGUUAGUGCACCUCCUGAUUGGACAUAGUACGGCGUGAUAAGUGUCUUCGCUGGCUCCUCGCAAAGAGGGUGGCCGAUCGGGAGCUCUGUUGCUUCAAAACUGUCUUCGGACAAUCUUCUGGCG
rnacentral:misc_RNA from 1 species